rnacentral:rRNA from 1 species
AACGAACGCUGGCGGCAGGCUUAACACAUGCAAGUCGAGCGCCCCGCAAGGGGAGCGGCAGACGGGUGAGUAACGCGUGGGAAUCUACCCAUCUCUACGGAAUAACGCAUGGAAACGUGUGCUAAUACCGUAUACGUCCUUCGGGAGAAAGAUUUAUCGGAGAUGGAUGAGCCCGCGUUGGAUUAGCUAGUUGGUGGGGUAAAGGCCUACCAAGGGGACGAUCCAUAGAUGGUCGGAGAGGAUGAUCAGCCACACUGGGACUGAGACACGGCCCAGACUCCUACGGGAGGCAGCAGUGGGGAAUAUUGGACAAUGGGCGCAAGCCUGAUCCAGCCAUGCCGCGUGAGUGAUGAAGGCCCUAGGGUUGUAAAGCUCUUUCACCGGUGAAGAUAAUGACGGUAACCGGAGAAGAAGCCCCGGCUAACUUCGUGCCAGCCGCCGCAGUAACAC